AUGUAGACUAAAGGAAAGCAAUUACAAUUUCAGGAACUGAAGUGACUAAUUGGACAAAGUUGUUUUCCACAGAACAAGAUAAACAGAGAAUUAAGAUAAACAAAAAGAAAGGGCCUCUGUAUUGCUCUUUGGUUGAAGCACCAUCUGCCUCAGAUACAGCUCUUUAGUGUGUGUGGAUAGAGAGAAAGAGACAGAGAGAGUGUGUAAAACACACACACACACUUUGAGUUUAGAUUUUGACAUUCUGUAAGGUUCUGCAGUUACCAAGCAGCAUGACCCUGAGUCGUUAACAAACUGUCAAAGAAUCCUUCCAUUUUUACACUUGCUUUGUCCCAAAUGGCACCCUAUUCCCUAUGGGCAAGGGUACUCUAGGGUGCCUUUUGGGAUGCAAACAGUGGCUACACAUUGUCAUCUUCUUGUCAUCCUGAAAUGCCAAUAUGUGUCAGACAUGGGUUCAAAUACUAUUGUAAAUAUUUGAAAUACUUUCAGUGUUUGGUCUAGCAUGCCUGGAGUGCCAGGUGAACAGGAUUAGCAGUUUGGGGCCUAUUGUAUUGGUCAAUUAAACCAGGCAAGCUCAAUCAAGCACAAAAAAGUAUUUGAAAUGUCCUAAAUAGUAUUUGGAUCCAGGUCGGAUAUGAGUAAAGCCAAUAGAAGGCGUAUUGAAUAAUAGUGAUUUUGAUAACAAUACAAAGCAUACAAAAUCAUUUGUGUUCCUUCACACGCAAUACCCUUUUCAAAAUCUCUCUAAAAUGUCAAAGUAAUACUCCUCAGGCUGACGUGCGUGUUUGUGUGUCUUACCCACACACUUCUCAGCCAAUCCUGGUUGCCUGGACACCAGUGUAAAAGGCUGGCACAGGUUUCCCAAACCCAUUUGGUGAGCUCACAGCAGAGGGGAAAGACACACACACACACACACACACACACAGCUUAGCAACGUUUAGACUAACAUACGGACUGUGGGCGAGCUGCAGAGGGGGAGCAGGUACUAGGGCCAUUACAGUCCCAGCAGGUGGCGACCCGACAUUCAGGGCAGGAAAAUUGGAACGGGGAAAUCUCAGACUUCAGUGAGUUCAAGACAACUGGGAACUCUGAAAAAAACGAUUACUUACUCGGGAAAAAAACAAACAUUUUGAACGGUCAUCCAACUCGGAAUUCCAAGUUGGAAACUUGGGGCUCUUUCUAGAGCUCCGACCUGAAGAUCACUGACGUCAUGAUUAAAACUUGUUUUUUUUCAGAGUUCCCAGUUGUCUUGAAAGCACCAUAAAUCAAGAGAAUGCCAGACUUUGAUGGCAAAGUUUGAUGACUAAAUUUGCCCACAAGAAGGACCGCCAUGCCAACUUCCUGUUCAUGUGAGCACAGCACCACAAGGUGAGUCCAUGUAUUGUAUGCUGCUGCAUAAAUGAUGCAAUAUGCCAGGGAGGAGUCUAUACUGUAGCUAAGACAGUAAUACUAAGUGCAUGUUGUGUAGUAAGAUGUUAGAAGCCCAUGUGCCUCACCCUAGUAUCUGGUCC
rnacentral:lncRNA from 1 species